UGUGUGUGUGUGUGUGUGUGUGUGUGUUAUAAAGUCUGAGAAAAGUAGGAGACAAACUUUAAGUGUGUCUGUGCGUGCAUGUACAAUUUACACAACAAAAGAGAGAGAACACCUAAAAAAGCCAGUGAAAGUGACUUUGUGUGUAUACAUGGGCGCGCACGCACACACACACACAAACACACGUACGCACAAACGCACGCGCGCGCGCACAGAACCAGUUGUUCCUACAGGCCAGCAGUUUCCGCCCAGGCUUUGUUUUCUACGCAGGUGCCCAAAAUGAUUGUGCGAAAAUGUGAAAUUUGAUCAGCAGACCAAAACAUCAUUAAGUCCCCGCUGUUCUCGGUGAUUACAGGUCAGCGCCGUUUCCCGUCGCUCUCUCCCGCGCGCGCGCACGCACGCACGCGGCAGACACCUGCGCGCGGCCCCGCCCACCUGAAGUUCUCCCAACUAAUUUUAUUUAGGCUAUCAAUAAUUAGCACUCGGUUAUUUGAAAUUGCGCUCAGACACGAAAACCUUUCCGGGAUGUAUCACAGUAAUUAUGUGUGUCAGUUGAGAAUGCGUUUUACAUCUGCGAGUCGAAUGGAGCAGAAUAUUAACAAGUCCUCUCUGGAUGGGAUUAAUUUUUUGGAGAAUAUGCAGAUAAACACACAAGUGCAGAGUGAGAGUCCAGGCUGCUGUUUAUUACGUGAUAAUCAAGAUAUUUUAACCAGGUUUAGACUGUGGAGAAGGAAGAAGAAUGAGAGAAGAAGGAGGGAAAAAGAACUCAACCACACCAGCACCUGAGCACCAGCUGACGCCCCGUGUUCUCCUCCUGAGAGUGAUUCCUGCUCGGAGCCGCAGCAGCAUCGGAGAAGGAGCCCCCUUGAGGUGGAAGUGAGGGCCACAGCGCCUCUCCAUGGGAACUGCUAAUUGGCCCUCCCCUGUGGCCACUUGGAGAAGCAGGCAGACGUGGCCCGGUAGACACUUCUGCUGGUCCGCAGGGACGGUGGUGGAUGAGAGAUUCACGUGGCUCUGCUUCUUUAGGAACGACAGUCUGAUGUCUCCUUCUUUCACCAUCUGGACACCAGAUUUACUGACGAACCGAUCGGGACCAGAGAGGCUCCGCGUGAAGACAACACCUCUGUAUGUUCAGACUGGCGUGUGUGUUCUUGUACUUCUAUCUUUGUGAGGACCGGUUUGAGUUUUAGACUUUGAGUUUAAGGUUAGUUUUUGGAAAUUAGGGACAUCUUUUAUAAGUGUGGACUUUUUGAAGGGACAUAAUUAACUAAUUUAUCUCUGCACGCUGAAUAUCCAACAUCAGACUGAUUUUUUGGGGACGAAGAAUUUGUAUGUGACUAAAGAUGUCCGCCGUCUGAUGACUAGUUAACUACCUGUUGGAUGUCACUGUUUGGAGGAAGGAAGGCGAUAAACCUAUGAACUUUUGUCAAAGUGAACAAACAAAUGCACCUCAAGUUUGUAACGUCUUUUGUAUUUCAUGUUAAAUGGAAGAAAAUAACAAUAAAAUCUCAGAAUUGCCAAAAAAUAUAUAUUAUUUUUUGGAAAGUGCAGAUGUUUUUGAAUGAGGGUGAGGACAUUCUUGUACAGUUUUUGGAAAAAGGACAUUGUUGUGAAAAAAAGUGAGGUCAAUUUUGGAAAAUGAAGACCUUUUUCUAGAACUUUUUGAAAUUUUUGAAAAUUGGGGACAUUUUGAAAAGUGAGAACAUUGUUGGCGAUUAUUUUUGGAGAGUGAGAAUAUCUUUAGAGAGUGUGAAGACUCAGGACUUUUUUAGAAAGUGUACCUUUUUUUUGUAAAGUGAAGACA